AUGAAGUUGGAAUUGCUAGUAAUCGCGGAACAGCAUGCCGCGGUGAAUACGUUCUCGAGUCUUGUACUCACAAUAAAAGCGCCAAGCAGCUUAGUUUUCUAAGCGGUUCAAAUCCGCUUCUCUCUGACCGUCCGAGAGCAUAGCCGAAAGAUAGCGCAUUGCCGCGAGGGAAUGCGUGGAGGAUCUGGAGGCAAAAGACAGCCCGAACACAAAAAGAACCAAUCGACCUGCCAGUGGGUGGUGAGGGUAGGGAAGAUUCAUGAGAAAAGUUCAUUUGGGAUGCCCGGAACAGAAAGCUAAGUGACCUUGGGAGAUCUGAUGGCUGUCCAUUUCGUUCGCGAAGUGGUAAAAUGAAACUGACGCAGCGUCAGAAGUCAGCCGGAUCGUAGUAGUCGAAGCACAUAAGUUUUUAUGUGCUCGAUGAAGGCAUCCACUCAAUGAUAUGCUUACAGCAGAUUACAUUGUCGGUUUAGUUGAUGGUGAAGGCAGUUUCACCGUUUACGUGAGGAAUCCCAAAGAUUUCUCACCUCGUAAACGAAGGGUGAAAGUGGAACCGAGAUUUUACAUCAAGCUCGUGGAGAAAGACAAGAAAAUUCUCUACGCGCUCGAGAAAUUUUUCGGUUGCGGGAAUGUCUAUUUUCAAAAAGACGCUCGCGCGAACCAUCAGCAAUGCUAUCGGUAUGAGGUGGCAAAUCGAACGCAUCUGGAAGAGAUUAUCAUUCCGUUCUUUCGGAAAAAUAAUCUCCGAUUUCCGUCAAAGCAGAAAGAUUUCAAAAUCUUCUGUUCAUUGAUGGAUAUGAUGCGGACAGGAAAUCAUCUCACUGAAAAAGGACAAGCGAAAAUGUAUCUGUUAAAGCAGAAAAUGCAUUGAGCUCGCCGCAUACGGGAAAUCCGUCCGUGCGGUGGGAACAUCAAUUCUUCGUUUCAAAGAAGAUAAUCGCCCGUCAAACCAAGGGAGUCGGUAACACCCGAAGUGCCAAGAUUUAUCAAGGUCCUAAGGUGGGAUCGAUGACAGGGGUUAAGUCGUAACAAGGCAUGGGUAGCGGAAGCUGUCCAUGGAUCACCUCCUUUAUAGGGAG
rnacentral:rRNA from 1 species